UGGUCAAAUUCAUACACCCAUUAUAAAGCUUCACACGCAGACCUCAAUUUUAGAUUCUCAAGGCCUGCUUUGAUGAAAUUUGAGGUGAAACUUGUGUGCAUGCUUGUUUUUGAGCCCUUAUUCAACUUUCUGUGCUUGGCUUCUUUCUGGGUUUCUUGUUGAAAUAAGAUUUUAUUCAAUAUUUUGGGUCCUUGUGGGGAGAAGAAAGGAUACUGAGUUCGCUGGCGGGAGGGGUUAAAUAUGACGCUGGUGGGAGAUAUGCCACGUCUCCGCCACCUACAGGGCGAAUUAGCGGCAAGCACAGAGCACCCACGUCUCCGCCGUCGAGAGGGUGAAUUAGCGGCAAAGCGUCCUGCACAAUUAGGCGGAGAUGAUCAAAACAUUUCAAAUUGAUUUCACUGAAGAACGGGUUUGAAGGUGGAGUACAUCGUGUGGAUUUGAAAGGGUUUGUACACAUUUUCGGAUACAAAUGCGGCAUUUUUGCUCAGGAGCUUGAAAUCAAUGAAUUUAUGAAUGGGUUGAGGCCGGAAACCACAUGCAAACCAGAUUCUGCGCAUUCCCUAUUGAGCCGUAUUCGAAUUCAUUAGUGAGGAACACAUGUUUGCUGAGCCUGUUUCGAUUUCAUAUCGUUCAGUAUCUGUCUGGUUUAGUUGAACAUCGGUGCACCUGUCAGUUACGUUAAUGUUUAGUUCAGAGAGAAUCGAACCCGAAAGUAUUUGAUAUCAGCUGUGAUAUUCACUCAUUGAUCUAGACUCGUAGAUGUAAAUCCACUAACAUUAUUGAAAUAACAAGUUGCAUAUCCAGAUGUUAAAUCCCAGAAAGUUUCGAGAGAUAUGAAGAUCUAUGUUCAUCCAUUUUCAUUUCGAAGCUAAAUUACAAUAGUUCUAGUUUUAUUCAUGGGCAACAGUCAGAAAAGAUUUAGCUGGCGAGGACUAUGUACUGUUUAGGCGUUGGACCGUAGCUUCUACACAUGAUUAUCAUUUUUCACCCAUGAUCAUAGUAACUAGAACCUUGCACAUCUUCAGUUAGAGGAAAACUGGUGAGGGAUCCAUACUGUUUAGGCGUUGGACAGGGUAAUUGAAUUCUUGUCUACAUUAAAGCACAUGACCUCGUGAUCAUAUAUUUGAAAUGCUUCUUCAGUUUGGAUUAUGGAGAUAGAAAACGUGAGGACCUAAGCUAAUCAAAUUCGAGCAAAACCGAAAUUGCAACAAGAACUGAAGUCGGAUGAAGGAUACGAACCAGCUCCGGCUUCAUUCGGAGGACGCGCUCCGACAGCUUCCACUGAGGAACGACGGCGUCAGGCGGCGAGAUAGCUCGGUUGGCCGAGGAGUGAGCAGCAGAGCUCCAGCGAGAGCCAUUGGAGUGGGAGAACGAGGAGAACGGAGCAGCGGACGAGUGAGAGUUGGAGGAGGCGGAGUAGGAGAGCUUACUGCGAUCAACGUCGGUUGCGGAUGAGUAUUUGGCGGCGGCGGAGGUGGUGGUGGUUGAGCUGGAGUUUCUGAGGUGUGGAGGCACAUACGACAUCGUUUUUGCUUUCGACGGGAAGUUUCUCGGAGUCUGAUUUAUGCAGCGACUAUAUGAGUGAGAGUGAGUGUUUCAAAAGAGGUGUGUAGGAGAAAAUGAGAGGUUCGUGGUUGGCCAAUCUCAAAAAGCUGAAAGGGAUCAUAAAUGUUCAAAACUGUUUUGCUCGAUUUUGUGGGCUAUGGGCCGUUUUGGGUCUGCGGGCUUUACGUUCUAGCCCAUGUUGAUGGCCCGAAUAAGAAACCCUACUAAAAAUUGGACCGGUCUUGUCCAAUGACGUGGGCAAGGAUUGUCGAAUUUGUCGAUAUCUUUUUCUGGAAGAUAAAUGUUUUUUUAUCCUUUUUUGGGAAAAGAAGAAAAAAAAAGUACAAAUAGAAAGUAGAAAGUAAAAGAUCUGACUAAUAAUCAUCAUGAAAAAAGUGUGACAUUGUCGUAAAGUCAAAAAGUAUGUAUAAUAAUAUGCAUGUGUUGAAUUAGUGUUGAUUUU